AUGAUACUGGGCGGGCUCAUCGACGGCCUGACGGGGGCGAACAAGAGCGCGCGGCUCAAGGGCACGGUGGUGCUCAUGAGGAAGAACGUGCUGGACCUCACCGACUUCGGCGCCACCAUCAUGGACGGCAUCGGCGACUUCUUCGGCAAGGGCGUCACCUGCCAGCUUAUCAGCUCCACCCUCAUCGACCACGACAACGGCGGGCGUGGGAAGGUGGGCGCGGAGGCGGAGCUGGAGCAGUGGGUGACGAGCCUGCCGUCGCUGACCACGGGGGAGUCCAAGUUCGGCCUCACCUUCGACUGGGAGGUGGAGAAGCUGGGCGUGCCGGGCGCCAUCAUCGUCAACAACCACCACAGCUCCGAGUUCCUGCUCAAGACCGUCACCCUCCACGACGUCCCCGGCCGCGGCAACCUCUCCUUCGUCGCCAACUCAUGGAUCUACCCCACCUCCAGCUACACCUACAGCCGUGUCUUCUUCGCCAACGAUACGUACCUGCCGAGCCAGAUGCCGGCGGCGCUGAAGCCGUACCGCGACGACGAGCUCCGUAACCUGCGGGGCGACGACCAGCAGGGCCCCUACCAGGAGCACGACCGCGUCUACCGCUACGACGUCUACAACGACCUCGGCGAGGGCCGCCCCGUCCUCGGCGGCAGCGCCGACCACCCCUACCCGCGCCGCGGACGCACCGGGCGCAAGCCCAACGCCAACGAUCCCAACCUGGAGAGCCGGCUGUCGCUGCUAGAGCAGAUCUACGUGCCGCGGGACGAGAAGUUCGGCCACCUCAAGACCUCCGACUUCCUGGGCUACUCCAUCAAGGCCAUCACGCAGGGCAUCCUGCCGGCGGUGCGCACCUACGUCGACACCACCCCCGGCGAGUUCGACUCCUUCCAGGACAUCAUCAACCUCUACGAGGGCGGCAUCAAGCUGCCCAACGUCCCCGCCCUCGAGGAGCUGCGCAAGCAGUUCCCGCUCCAGCUCAUCAAGGACCUCCUCCCCGUGGGCGGCGACUCGCUGCUCAAGCUCCCCGUCCCCCACAUCAUCCAGGCGGACAAGCAGGCGUGGAGGACCGACGAGGAGUUCGCCCGGGAGGUGCUCGCCGGCGUCAACCCGGUCAUGAUCACGCGUCUCACGGAGUUCCCGCCAAAAAGUAGUCUGGACCCUAGCAAGUUUGGUGACCACACCAGCACCAUCACGGCGGCACACAUCGAGAAGAACCUCGAGGGCCUCACCGUGCAGCAGGCGCUGGAAAGCAACAGGCUGUACAUCCUUGAUCACCACGACCGGUUCAUGCCGUUCCUCAUCGACGUCAACAACCUGCCCGGCAACUUCAUCUACGCCACCAGGACCCUCUUCUUCCUGCGCGGCGACGGCAGGCUCACGCCGCUCGCCAUCGAGCUCAGCGAGCCUGUCAUCCAGGGCGGCCUCACCACCGCCAAGAGCAAGGUGUACACGCCGGUGCCGAGCGGCUCCGUCGAAGGCUGGGUGUGGGAGUUCGCCAAGGCCUACGUCGCCGUCAACGACUCCGGGUGGCACCAGCUCGUCAGCCACUGGCUGAACACCCACGCGGUGAUGGAGCCGUUCGUGAUCUCGACGAACCGGCAGCUCAGCGUGACGCACCCGGUGCACAAGCUGCUGAGCCCGCACUACCGCGACACCAUGACCAUCAACGCGCUGGCGCGGCAGACGCUCAUCAACGCCGGCGGCAUCUUUGAGAUGACGGUGUUCCCGGGCAAGUUCGCGCUGGGGAUGUCGUCCGUGGUGUACAAGGACUGGAAGUUCACGGAGCAGGGCCUGCCCGACGAUCUCAUCAAGAGGGGCAUGGCGGUGGAGGACCCGUCGAGCCCGUACAAGGUGCGGCUGCUGGUGUCAGACUACCCGUACGCGGCGGACGGGCUUGCGAUCUGGCACGCCAUCGAGCAGUACGUGAGCGAGUACCUGGCCAUCUACUACCCGGACGACGGCGUGGUGCAGGGCGACGUGGAGCUGCAGGCGUGGUGGAAGGAGGCGCGCGAGGUUGGGCACGGCGACCUCAAGGACGCGCCAUGGUGGCCGAGGAUGCAAGCCGUGGGCGAGCUGGCCAAGGCGUGCACCACCAUCAUCUGGAUCGGAUCGGCGCUGCACGCGGCGGUCAACUUCGGGCAGUACCCAUACGCGGGGUUCCUCCCGAACCGGCCGACGGUGAGCCGGCGCCGCAUGCCGGAGCCCGGGACGGACGAGUACGCGGAGUUAGAGCGCGACCCAGAGCGGGCCUUCAUCCACACCAUCACCAGCCAGAUCCAGACCAUCAUUGGCAUCUCGCUGUUGGAGGUGUUGUCCAAACACUCCUCUGACGAGUUGUACCUGGGUCAGCGCGACACGCCGGAGUGGACCUCGGACCCCAAGGCCCUGGAGGUUUUCAAGCGGUUCAGCGAGCGGCUGGUGGAGAUCGAGAGCAAGGUGGUGGGCAUGAACCACGACCCGGAGUUGAAGAACCGGAACGGCCCGGCCAAGUUCCCCUACAUGCUGCUCUACCCCAACACCUCCGACCACAAGGGCGCCGCCGCCGGCCUCACCGCCAAGGGCAUCCCCAACAGCAUCUCCAUCUGA
rnacentral:rRNA from 1 species